CAACAGACUUGUGAGAAACAAGGUAAUACAAGAACUUCCAACUUAAUGUCAAUGCAGAAAUUAAGUAGGUAGGCUCAAUGCUACUGUUGUGUAAAUAGUUAACAAUAUAGUAGUGUUUUACCGGUUGCAUAGUAUUGCCCAGCAUGGAAGAAAGCUGGUAAUUUUGGGGUUUGAUCUGUGUAAAGAUACUGUGCUUGUAGAAGUUCUUCUGAUACUCUGCUAUUUAUUCAGAAUAGAGACAACAGAGGCUUUAUUUUUACCUCUAGAUUACCAUACUUACCCAAAUUAUAAGGCACUCUUCCUUUUUUUUUAUUUUUCUGAAAGAAAAUAGGGCUUCCACUCAGCAUGUAUUUUAAAAGGACAAUAUAGCCUCAAAGUCCACUAACGUCCUUUUCCAGAACCAUUCCUCAUUUUUCUUUCUUUUACUUGUUAACACCCACUGGGCUAAGGACUGCUUUGCAAGAUACAGUGUAAUUGCACUCAGCUUUGGACUUGAGAAGGUUUAAUGGAUGAUGGCUUUCAUGUCCCAUGUGAGGCUCAGCUGUAGCAGGAAGACUGGGCUGGCUACAGAGCGCUGAGAUAUCUGCAACUUCACAUCCCUCUUGUUGGUCCUGGAGCUCCUACCCCAGUGUGUGUGGCUGGUACAGAAUAUCGUUGCUCAGCUUGUACCCAGCCAUUGUAGGUAAAUGAACCCUCAGUCUCCUCUUGUAGAGGAGAGAAUGACACAAUACCUCUUCUCAACAUAUAGUCCAGGGACAUAAAGGGGACAAUUUCUAUUAUUUUUCUUAAAAUUCAGUUUGAGGAAGGGAUUAAUAGCUUAGCCUCACUUUUUUUCAAUGCAAUGUUGUAACACAUGUAUUUAUUUUCUUGUGCUGGAGGAAUAACAUCUCAAACAUAAAAGGUAAUAUCUAUGCCACUUUGCACCAACUGUCUCUGCAAAACGAUGUACUGUUGAAAGUACCUGGCAUCACUUAGCGGAGAAGAAUGAACUUUGUUUCUUGAGAUCACGGAGGCUUACAUCUGUGGCAGCCUGAGUUUUAGAUCUUAGUUUUGUAAAAGUGGAGAGGCUGCUCAUGUGGGACAGUGGCUGUGGGAAAAAAAAAAUGUUGUUAAAACAGCUGAAGCUGGGUGUUUGUGUGAAAUUCAACUUUUUCAGGCUUUUUCAGUUCUAAACCGUAACACAAGGUGGCAGUCUAUGUCAUCACUAGUAAUUUCUGUAUCAGUGAUCUCAACAAAUUGAGGCAUGGGGUGGAAAAACUAGUUGAUGUCACAUUGUCAAAUAUUGGUGAAGAUCCCAGCUUCUCUAGAGUAGGAACACUUGGAAAGUACUGAGUUUUUUAAUGGUGCUAGAAAACUCAUAGUGUUUGUUUUCACUAGUAAAUGGGGAAGAAAGCCAGCUUUAUUCUCUACUAACAAAGCUGUUCAAAGUGAUACAUGUAUGACAUGCUUCUCUUUAUUUUGAAGUCCUGGGCUAAGAGAACAGAAGUUGUCCUUCUGCGUUUCAGGAAUAUAUGGAUGUGUUUGUAAUAUCCUUCAAAGAUACUUGCCUGAUGCUCCAUCCUGGUGUAUCAAUACAACUGACAUGAUUCCAUGCACUACACAGAAAGCAUGAAGAAUGAGUCUGCAUGGAUCUGCUGUUGUUACACCUUGAUGAGAACUUAACGGCAAGGAGCCAGGGGAUUUGAAAGUAUUGGCUUCAAUUCUACCACUUUUGUGGCCUUGGGGAAAUGACUUAGUUACUGUUACUCCAUUCACUGAAUGGUUUUAUUGAGGCUUUGCUGAAUUAUGAGCAAGUUUCUUAAUGCCUAAAUUUGAAGUCUGUUUAGGUGCAACGCUAUAACCUCCUGUUGGAAGCACAAAUGUUCUGCACUAGUAUUUGUGUAGCUCAGAUGCAUUCAAUCCAGAUAAAAUGUGUUCAAAGGUAACUUCGAGUAGAGGAGACCUCCAUCAUGACUGAGUAAAUCGGAGCUUUCGUGAGAGUUGGAAGAGAGAAAAAUUCCACCUUUGAGAGGGGGCUACUUUGAUAACUGUAGUGUAACUUGUUCUCCUAUUUCUUACUCAUCUUAACCUGUCUGAAAGAUGAAUACCUGAGCUCUGGAGGUGAUUGGUGGCAUAUCUAUUUUAGGCCUGUCUGCUGAUAUCAGUGCUGCUGAAUCUGAGGGUGUGAUACUUUUUUUUUUUUCAGGCAUUUUCUCAAUGGAAGAGGGCAUAAUUGCACGAUUUUUUUUGUAUCUUGAACAGUGUUGAUACUGGAUGCUCUAAGAGAGCUCUUACUUGGGGAUGUCUCAUCUCUGCUUGGCAUUCAGUAUUGCUGCUUUCUGAGGUAAUGUGACCAAGAGUUCAAAAGUCUUCAGCACACUUUUUUGCUGUGGCAUCAUUGAUACUUAAAACUAUGUAGCUGAGGUUCAGCGUGCUGGCAACACAGAUCUUGCCAUAGUCUGAGAAGAAGAUUGAUGUGUUAAAAAUUAAAGCAUAUAGUAACUGUUGAGUACGUAGGCGUUUGGUGUGCUUGUUGCUGCUCAGAAAGGCUUUGCAAGUUGCUUUCUGUUUCAGUGGAAGGUUAGCUCAACUUACUGUGUGUGGAUCCUGUUGUAUCAUGAUGGAGAAAUUAAUGCUUAAUGUUUAUUGGGGUAAAUGUUUACACUAACACUCACGAUUUCAAACGUCUCCCAGUACAAAUGAACUAUGAAGCUAUUUAGAACUAUUCUUAAAAAACCUCUGCUUGCUGUGUUGUAAGAUACAUGUGAGCAAGAUUAGGUGUGUAGUAUCUUUGUUGUCUUUGGCUCUUCCUCUGUAUUUCAAUCUCCAGGAAAUCUGAAGACUGAAACUUUUGGUAGGGGAAUUCUCUGAAGUGAAGUCACAGAAGGGUUGGUUUGGAAUAUCUCCCUUCCUCUUCCUGUCCAUCAAAAAGAACUUUUUCAAAAAAAUUCCAGUUUUCCAAAUUUUAAAUGCAUUCAAUGCCAACAAUUUGUCUGUCCUCUGUUAUCCCAUUUGUCAUUAACUGAAAAUGUUAAAUAAUCAUAAAAAUGUUGUAUCUUGUACUGCCGCUACAGGCAGCUGAUGUUAGUGAACUGUCAUUUAAAGGAGGAUGUUUUUCUCUUAUCUUCUGUUUUCCCCACUGAACAAAAUACCAAACCUUUGGGCCUCAUUUCUAUUCUUCACGGGUCUGUGUGUUUAGUUUCAGCUUUGCUGCUGCUUUUAGCUGUACAGUUGGGCCUCUCCCAGCUCAGUGCUUAGAGAUGUGGAAGAAACUACCUAUUGGUGCACUCUGGAGCUACAGAAGCUGUUGAAAAACAUGCCAGAUCUGUAUAGAUAUGAUGUGUCAAGAGGGGUCUGCUGGGUAGUUCUUUUCUGGAAAUCACCUGAAGACCAAACCUCUGCAAGUGAAGAGCGUGUCGACUCUUAACGUCCAUUUUCUUCAUCAGUUUUUCUGGAAGCUGAACAGAAAAGUAAAACCAACAUCACUUUGACAAUGCUCUAAUACCCACAAGCUGAAAACUUCAGAUUUGUUGACUGGCAAGGAACAUAUGAGAAGUAGCUCAUCACUGCACUGAGAAUUGGUCUUCCCUCAGGAGGAUUAUUAAUGAAUAUCUGAACUGUGGUAAAGAUGUCUCCAAGCUGACACUGGUGUUCCACACUGGUGUACGACUGGAAUAGAUGAGGCAGGAAAGACGUGAGGCAACUACAACUUCACUCCAUUGUACAGAAGAAGCAUCAGCACAGAGAUGAAGCAGCUUUGCCCCAGCUAGAGUGCAAGUCUGAAACGGAGUUGAAAACUGAACCCAGUCAUCCAGAGGCCCGAGUCUGUGGCUGAAUUACAAGCCCAUCUAAUGUCAUGAGGAUUUAUACAAGAACUAUCACUGUAUAAAAAAGAGGAGAAGCACUGUGAAGCACCAGCGUCUUGCUUUAUGGUGGUGUUUGCAUUAAAUGUUCUCUUCCUCAUCUGUUUACUCACACCACCUCGCAGACCAUCUCAUCAAUCCGUCUUGCUUCUACAGACCUUGUGGCUGAUGUUCCCUGGAAACUCCCUGAGGAUUGAUUGGGUUGUGUAAGUGAUGAUGUGCUCCUGAGGAUUUUUGACAGCAGAACUUAGGAAUUAAUACUACGGGGUUUAGUUUUUUCAGUUAAACUGUUAUCUGAUGCACACCUGAAAUGCCACCAUCACACUGUAGUGUUUCUUAUCAUGUGUGGACAGCUGCCUGGCUGCAAAUGGAUGGAGUGCCCCGUGCUGUAGUCAGGCCACGUUGUGAGUAAGCUCAGUGGGGUCAGAAUAAAGUAAAACUCCUAGUAGAGUAAUGCUCUAAAUGGCAUUGGAUGAGGGGACACUAGGAGGGGUCUGGUGUUUCUUUCUUAGCUCAUUCAUUCCUGGCAUAGUAACAGCAUAUCGUGUGCUGGAGGAGGCAGUCACUGGGAUGGAUAGGAGCUGUGGAUUUCCUGGUCUGUUGUUAUCUCUCUUGGUAGAGUCUCAUAAAUCAGGAAGCCUGUACCUCACAGCUGUGGCCAGAUUGCAGUCCAGACCCUUGGUGCUCAGUUUUCUAUGGUUCGGUUUCACCUCUUGCUCCUGGCUUUAGUAAACUUGUCUUUUGUCUCAAUAUGUCAGGUUAUCAUGUUAAUCUGGUUGCUGUUUUUCAUCACACAUGACCACGUUUCCCUGUGAGGUUAGGAACUGUGAAGUGACCUUAAAACCAAGUAGCACAUUUGUGCUUCUGAAAGAUGGCUUAGUCAUUAUUAUAUACUUCUUUUAUACCCCUGAAGGGUGCUUGGUCUUUGGAGCGUGGAACAGGCAUAUGGGGGGAAUUUUCAUCUGAAAGGCAUCGUGCCAAAGUUUAGCAGCAAUUAUUAAGUGAGGUGAUGGGAACAUUAAAUGCUAAUUAACAGUGUAGAUUACAUUCUGAGAUCAGUAUUGCAUGGACUGGCUACCUGGUGCAGUAUCACCAUCCUAUGUAUGUGGAGGUGAACCAGCUGGUUUACAUGUUUAAUGCUGAAGAAACUCAAAGAUACAGGACCUCAUGUAGUUCAGCUAUGGUAUAAAUGUAAUCUCCAGCAGUGAUUGCCUACUGUGUAGAAUGGCAAUGGUUUCUACCCACUAGAAAUGAAUUCCAGGAAAGCACGUGACUUAUUUUGUUCACCUUACUUUUGCUAAUAGAAAGAAACUGAGAGCUUUCAUCAGCGGCAGCAAGUUUUGCAUUGAGUGAGGAUCCUUGUCUCAUAACAGAUGUACUUAUUUGCAUGGGAGUGAGCUAAUUUCCAAUGAUGGGCUCAGAAUGGGUUCGUGUAAUUCAGCUGCUAAAUCUGCCAUUUCCCGCUGAGAAGUGAAGAGGGAGUUGAAAUCAUCUAUGAAGGGAAGAGACCAGGUACCUGCGAGGAGCUUGGCCAAGUGUGUUCAA